AUGCAAUAUUGCUCUCUACAGCAUCGGACCUUGCUUCUAUCACCAGUCACAUCCACAACUGGGUAUUGUUUUGCUUUGGCUCCAUCCCUUCAUUCUGUCUGGAGUUGUUUCUCCACUGAUCUCCAGUAGCAUAUUGGGCACUUACCGACCUGGGGAGUUCCUCUUUCAGCAUCCUGUCAUUUUGUCUUUUCAUACUGUUCAUGGGGUUCUCAAAGCAAGAAUACUGAAGUGGUUUGCCAUUCCCUUUUCCACUGGGCCACAUUCUGUCAGGAAGGAAGAAAGCCUUCCUCAAAGAUUAAUACAAAGAAAUAGAGGAAAACAACAAAAUGGGAAAGACUAGAGAUCUCUUCAAGAAAAUUAGAGAUACCAAGGGAACAUUUCAUGCAAAGAUGGGCUUGAUAAACGACAGAAAUGGUAUGGACCUAACAGAAGCAGAAGAUAUUAAGAAGAGGUGGCAAGAAUACACAGAAGAACUGGACAAAAAAGAUCUUCACGACCCGGAUAAUCACGAUGAUGUGAUCACUCACCUAGAGCCUAACAUCCUGGAAUGUGAAGUCAAGUGGGCCUUAGAAAGCAUCACUAUGAACAAAGCUAGUGGAGGUGAUGGGAUUCCAGUUGAGCUAUUUCAAAUCCUGAAAGAUGAUGCUGUGAAAGUGCUGCACUCAAUAUGCCAGCAAAUUUGGAAAACUCAGCAGUGGCCACAGGACUGGAAAAGGUCAGUUUUCAUUCAAAUCCCAAAGAAAGGCAAUGCCAAAGAAUGCUCAAACUGCCACACAAUAGCACAUAUCUCACAUGCUAGUAAAGUAAUGCAUAAAAUUCUCCAAGCCAGGCUUCAGCAGUAUGUGAACCCUGAACUUCCAGAUGUUCAAGCUGGUUUUAGAAAAGGCAGAAGAACCAGAGAUCAAAUUGCCAACAUCUGCUGGAUCAUAGAAAAAGCAAAAAAGUUCCAAAAAACCAUCUAUUUCUGCUUUAUUGACUAUGCCAAGCCUUUGACUGUGUGGAUCCCAAUAAACAGCGGAAAAUUCUGAAAGAGAUG
rnacentral:lncRNA from 1 species